UACCUGGUUGAUCCUGCCAGUAGUUAUAUGCUUGUCUCAAAGAUUAAGCCAUGCAUGUCUAAGUAAAAAUAUCUUACCUUGAAACUGCGAACGGCUCAUUAUAUCAGUUAUAGUUUAUUUGAUAGUCCCUUACUACUUGGAACCUGUAGUAAUUCUAGAGCUAAUACAUGCGUCAAUACUCUUUUAGGGUAGUGUUUAUUAGAUAGAAACCAACCCCUUUGGGGUGAUGCGGUGAUUCAUAAUAAGCUUGCGGAUCGCAUGCUUUUGGCGGCAAUGGAUCAUUCAAGUUUCUGCCCUAUCAGCUUUGGACGGUAGGGCUUUGGCCUACCAUGGCUUUAACGGGUAACGGGAAAUUAGGGUUUGAUUCUGGAGAGGGAGCCUGAGAGACAGCUACCACAUCCAAGGAAGGCAGCAGGCGCGUAAAUUACCCAAUCCUGACACAGGGAGGUAGUUCUUAGGUCUGGCAAUUGGAAUGAGAACAAUUUAAACCCCUUAUCGAGUAUCAAUUGGAGGGCAAGUCUGGUGCCAGCAGCCGCGGUAAUUCCAGCUCCAAUAGCGUAUAUUAAAGUUGUUGCAGUAAAAAAGCCUGUAGUUGGAUUUGUGGUGUGUCCAGUCGGCCUUUGCUCUUUGAGUGAUAGGGUUGUUACUGGUCUGCCAUGUUUGGGUGGAAUCUGUGUGGCAUUAAGUUGUUGUGCAGGGGAUACCCAUCGUUUACUGUGAAAAAGUUAGAGUGUUCAAAGCAGGCUUAUGCCUCUGAAUAUAUUAGCAUGGAAUAAUGAUACAGGACCUUGGUACUAUUUUGUUGGUUUGCGCUCUGAGGUAAUGAUUAAGAGGGACAGUUGGGGGUAUUUGUAUUCCAUUGUCAGAGGUGAAAUUCCUGGAUUUUUGGAAGACAAACUACUGUGAAAGCAUUUACCAAGGAUGUUUUCAUUAAUCAAGAACGAAAGUUAGGGGAUCGAAGAUGAUUAAAUACUAUCGUAGUCUUAACCAUAAACUAUGCUGACAAGGGAUUGGCGGAGUUUCGUUUCGUCUCCGUCAGCACCUUGUGAGAAAUCAUAAGUCUUUUGGGUUCCGGGGGGAGUAUGGUUGCAAGGCUGAAAUUUAAAGAAGUUGACGGAAGGGCACCACCAGGAGUGGAGCUGCGGCUUAAUUUGACUCAACACGGGAAAACUUACCAGGUUUAGACAUAGUGAGGAUUGACAGAUUGAUAGAUUGAGAGCUCUUUCUUGAUUCUAUGGGUUGUGGUGCAUGGCUGUUCUUAGUUGGUGGAGUGAUUUGUCUGGUUAAUUCUGUUAACGAACGAGACCCCUGCCUGCUAAAUAGCACGUGUAGUGUUUAUCACUGCAUUUUUGCUUCUUAGAGGGAUGUGUGUUCUAUUAGACGCAGGAAGAUAGGGGCAAUAACAGGUAUGUGAUGCCCUUAGAUGUUCUAGGCCGCACGCGCGCUACAAUGAUGCAUUCAACGAGUUCUUACCUUGGCCAAGAGGCCUGGUCAAUCUUUUGAACUUGCAUCGUGAUAGGGAUAGAUUAUUGCAAUUACUAAUCUUGAACAAGGAAUUCCUAGUAAACACAGAUCAUCAAUCUGCAUUGAUUACAUCCCUGUCCUUUGUACACACCGCCUGUCGCACCUACCAAUUGAAUGGCCCGGUGAAGCCUCGGGAUUGUGGUUAGUUUCCUUCCUUGGAAGUUAGUCGCAAGAACUGUCUAAACCUUAUCAUUUAGAGGAAGGUGAAGUCAUAACAAGGUUUCCGUAGGUGAACCUGCAGAAGGAUC
rnacentral:rRNA from 1 species